UGGGUGACCUGCCCCCUACUCUGGGAUAAGCCUGGGGAAACUGAGUCUAAUACCGGAUAUGACUGCUGGUUGCAUGACUGGUGGUGGAAAGUGUGUUCUUGAUUGGGCACUUCGGUGGGGGAUGGGCCCGCGGCCUAUCAGCUUGUUGGUGGGGUGAUGGCCUACCAAGGCGACGACGGGUAGCCGGCCUGAGAGGGCGACCGGCCACACUGGGACUGAGACACGGCCCAGAUCCUAACGGGG
rnacentral:rRNA from 1 species